rnacentral:rRNA from 1 species
AUUGAACGCUGGCGGCAUGCCUUACACAUGCAAGUCGAACGGCAGCACGGGAGCAAUCCUGGUGGCGAGUGGCGCACGGGUGAGUAAAGUAUCGGAACGUGCCCGGUCGUGGGGGGUAACGUAGCGAAAGCUAUGCUAAUACCGCAUACGAUCUAUGGCUGAAAGCGGGGGAUCGCAAGACCUCGCGCGGUUGGAGCGGCCGAUAGCAGAUUAGGUGGUUGGUGGGGUAAAGGCCCACCAAGGCGACGAUCUGUAGCUGGUCUGAGAGGACGACGAGCCAGACUGGGACUGAGAUAGGGCCGAGACUCCUACGGGAGGCAGCAGUGGGGAAGGUUGGAGGAGGAGUGCAAGACUGGUGCAGCAAUGCCGCGUGCAGGAUGAGGGCGUUAGGGUUGUAAUCUGCUUGUGUACGGAACGAAAAGGCCCUCACUAAUACUGGGGGCUCAUGACGGUACCGUAAGAAUAAGCACCGGCUAACUACUAGCCAGCCGCCGCCGCAG